rnacentral:rRNA from 1 species
UACAGAGGGUGCAAGCGUUACUCGGAAUUACUGGGCGUAAAGCGUGCGUAGGCGGUUUGUUAAGUCCGCUGUGAAAGCCCUGGGCUCAACCUGGGAAUUGCGUCCGAUACUGGCAGGCUUGAAUCCGGGAGAGGGAUGCGGAAUUCCAGGUGUAGCGGUGAAAUGCGUAGAUAUCUGGAGGAACACCGGUGGCGAAGGCGGCAUCCUGGACCGGCAUUGACGCUGAGGCGCGAAAGCCAGGGGAGCAAACGGG